AGUAUUUACUGUGUUUUUGUCAUGAUCCUUCUAGAAACCCAUGACGUGUUACCAGGUCACGUGACUACUACUGUCGUGACAGUAAUUUUGUUUAAGCGUUAGAAAACGCUCGUCUGGAAUAAACUACAUGGGAUAAUAUACAGGUGAUGCUUUUGUAUAAUCAUUGGAGUAUUAAAGAUGGAGGUAGAACCAUUUUCUGAUGAGAAGCAGAAUGUUUUGUUGGAUAUCAAACCGAUGAAAAAUGAAGAAGAAACUUUCACAAUAACUGAUAGAAAAGUUGAUUCCUUGGAAGAAAGUUUUCUACAUACAAAUUGUGAUGUAGCAUCAGAGAAAAGUGAGGUAAUUAAACUUUUUUACAGUUGUGUUAUUAAAGAAAAUGUGUAGCUGUAAUUAUGUCUUUCUGGAAUUUGUUUGUUUGGCAUAUAAUCAGUAAUGACAUAUUUGUAGUUACGAGCUGAAGAAAUUCACUACAAGUUUGCUGCAUUGUUGUGAAUAAACUACUUAGAGCUCUUGUUACAGUAGUAAUAUUGCUAGUUCAGAAGUAUUGUAGUGCACACCAGAAUGUAAACAUGUUUUAACAAAAUUAUAUAAUUGGUUGAACAAUUGCCAAGUUUUAUAUUUUAACUUAAAGAAGAAUGAAUUUUUUAGCUAGCUCUUUUCAUCAGAUAAUACAGAUUACAACAUGCACAGAAUUCAAAGAAAUUGCAUGUGUAUUACUUGGAAUGUUGAACAUGAAAUGUUUGUAUAAAAUUACAUCUGUUACAUAAAAAUUAUAAGUCAUUAAAAGAUAAAACCAAUAAAAUAAAAAAAAAAAUGGUAAAAUCUACAAGAAAGAUCUACAAACAGAUCUGUGGAGUCACUAUGGGGGACUAAAACGGUUCCAACCUUUGCCAAUCUCUUUAUUUCAUACACCAAAAAUCUUAUAUUUAUGGAAUGCAUCCAUGCCUAAAUAUGAUUUAGAAACUUUUCUGCACUUUGUUUCCUUUUUCCACCUCUCUUUAGAAUUUACUUGGGAAUAUCCAACCCAACACUCCCCUUUCUGGACAUUAACAUAUACAUACAAGAUGUCCAUCUGACCACUAGUAUAUAUUACAAAGAAACACAUUCACACAUGUACUUA